rnacentral:rRNA from 1 species
CCCUAGUAACGGCGAGUGAAGCGGCAACAGCUCAAAUUUGAAAUCUGGCGUCUUCGGCGUCCGAGUUGUAAUUUGCAGAGGGCGCUUUGGCAUUGGCAGCGGUCCAAGUUCCUUGGAACAGGACGUCACAGAGGGUGAGAAUCCCGUACGUGGUCGCUAGCCUUUACCGUGUAAAGCCCCUUCGACGAGUCGAGUUGUUUGGGAAUGCAGCUCUAAAUGGGAGGUAAAUUUCUUCUAAAGCUAAAUACUGGCCAGAGACCGAUAGCGCACAAGUAGAGUGAUCGAAAGAUGAAAAGCACUUUGGAAAGAGAGUUAAAAAGCACGUGAAAUUGUUGAAAGGGAAGCGCUUGCAGCCAGACUUGCCUGUAGUUGCUCAUCCGGGUUUCUACCCGGUGCACUCUUCUAUAGGCAGGCCAGCAUCAGUUUGGGCGGUUGGAUAAAGGUCUCUGUCAUGUACCUCCUUUCGGGGAGAUCUUAUAGGGGAGACGACAUGCAACCAGCCUGGACUGAGGUCCGCGCAUCUGCUAGGAUGCUGGCGUAAUGGCUGUAAGCGGCCCGUCUUGAAACACGGACCAAGGAGUCUAACAUCUAUGCGAGUGUUUGGGUGUCAAGCCCGAACGCGUAAUGAAAGUGAACGGAGGUGGGAACCUUUCGGGGUGCACCAUCGACCGAUCCUGAUGUCUUCGGAUGGAUUUGAGUAAGAGCAUAGCUGUUGGGACCCGAAAGAUGGUGAACUAUGCUUGAAUAGGGUGAAGCCAGAGGAAACUCUGGUGGAGGCUCGCAGCGGUUCUGACGUGCAAAUCGAUCGUCAAAUUUGGGCAUAGGGCGAAAGACUAA